rnacentral:rRNA from 1 species
UACGUAGGUGACCAGCGUUGUCCGGAUUUACUGGGCGUAAAGAGCGCGCAGGCGGUCGUUCAAGUCGAGUGUGAAAGCCCCCGGCUCAACUGGGGAGGGUCACUCGAUACUGAUCGACUUGAAGGCAGGAGAGGGAAGCGGAAUUCCCGGUGUAGUGGUGAAAUGCGUAGAUAUCGGAAGGAACAUCAGUGGCGAAAGCGACUUCCUGGACCAAUACUGACGCUCAUGUGCGAAAGCGUGGGGAGCAAACAGG